AGCAGGUCUUUGAGCUUCGUUGAGCUGAAUUUGUACUUUUAGAAGCUGGUUUGAAAGCUGCUCUAACCCAGGCGAGAGGAUAUUUGACCUUUGGACCACCUUCGUUUGGCAUUGGAGGGCCUUCCGGAAGCUGAACGUGAGCUAGAUUGGGGCCUAGUGGAGCUGAGUUUUG